CUUUUCUGUCUAUGUUCAGGCUUAUUGAGAAAUAGUCCAGGAAUCAGACUGAUAGAGAACAAAAUGUCAGCUUAAUAACUGAUAAGGCUGUUAGAGAACAUAGCUUUAGGUCUUGCUAAUAUUUGUGUACAGAAUUAGGCAGAUUUACCACCUAGCCGCAGGCAGCCCUGAGCAACCAGGCCACCACUGCUCUCCCUUCCACCCACAGUGGGGCCUGCCCUCAUCAUGGAGUUGCAGAGGAAUGAAUAAGGCGUAGAAAGAAAGGUCACUUAAGGAGUGAGGACUGAAACAAAAGGAGAAAGAAAGAUGGGAAGAAAGGAAAGUGGAAGGAGAAAGUGUGGAGCUAGGAGAUAAAGGUAGAGAAGAAAAGGAGAGAGAAAUGAGCAGGUCCAGAAUGUAGGGAGGGGGCUUCCCAUGGGCCAGUCUCAAGACCCCUCCCAGUGCUGAGCAACCAUUAACGUGUUGUUGAGAAAGAUUACUCCUUCUCCAUCUCUUGUUUAAGUUCUCACUUUUCAUAUCCCCUUAUCUCAGCCUUACCCUGCCCACCAGUAACUGUCCUGGGCAGAGUUCCCUCUCCAACCCUUCCGCCCACUACCCUGGUCUCACCGCUCCCCAUAGCUGUUGGGCAGCCCCAAGUGUUCCCAGCAGCCUGGACACCUGCCUCUACCACCACUUACUUUCCCACUCAAAACACUGUACUCAGAACCUGACCCUGGAAAUCCUUCUGGAUGCUGCUUCUCUGUCUCAGAAAAGAGAGCUGGGAAUUCCUCCCUCGCUUCUAAUUUAAGGCAAUAAAACCCUGGAUGACUAGAGUCUUUCCCGGAGCCUUCAUUUUCCCUUCUCUCUCCUUCCCUCUUUGAUUCCUUUUCUGCUUCUCUUCCUCCCUCCUCUUAGCUUGAAAUGGGUAAAAAAAUUAAAAAGUACAAUAAUUCUUCCAAAUGAUGAUCAUCUUUUUCACUCUUCUUCUCUCCAAUGAAGUCACUACUAAGUACCUGAAUAUGGAAGAAGUGAGAAAGAAAGAGGAAAAGGAGAAGAGGGGAAAAUAAGAUGCUGUCAGAUACGGGCAGGAGAAAUCCUUUAGAGUGCUUUGUGACCACCCAGAAGUAGAAGAAUAAAACUAACGCUAUUAAAAAGCAAUGGAAUCCCUGC
rnacentral:lncRNA from 1 species